rnacentral:rRNA from 1 species
UACGAAAGGGUGCAAGCGUUACUCGGAAUUACUGGGCGUAAAGCGUGCGUAGGCGGUUUGUUAAGUCUGUCGUGAAAGCCCCGGGCUCAACCUGGGAAUGGCGAUGGAUACUGGCGAGCUAGAGUACGGUAGAGGAGAGUGGAAUUCCCCGGUGUAGCAGUGAAAAUGCGUAGAGAUCGGGAGGAACAUCAGUUGCGAAGGCGGCUCUCUGGACCAGUACUGACGCUGAGACGCGAAAGCGUGGGGAGCAAACAGG